rnacentral:rRNA from 1 species
CAGCAGUAGCCGCGGUAAUACGGAGGGUGCAAGCGUUAAUCGGAAUUACUGGGCGUAAAGCGCACGCAGGCGGUUUGUUAAGUCAGAUGUGAAAUCCCCGAGCUUAACUUGGGAACUGCAUUUGAAACUGGCAAGCUAGAGUCUUGUAGAGGGGGGUAGAAUUCCAGGUGUAGCGGUGAAAUGCGUAGAGAUCUGGAGGAAUACCGGUGGCGAAGGCGGCCCCCUGGACAAAGACUGACGCUCAGGUGCGAAAGCGUGGGGAGCAAACAGGAUUAGAUACCCCGGUAGUCCCUGUCUCUUAUAC